rnacentral:rRNA from 1 species
AUCUACCUUCCUGACUGGGAUAACUGGCCGAAAGGCUUGCCAAUACCAGAUAAGAACACGGGGGCUUUGGCCUCCGAGGGAAAAGGUGGCCUCUGCAAGCAAGCUAUCUCAGGGAGAUGAGUCCGCGCCCCAUCAGCUAGUUGGCGGGGUAAAAGCCCACCAAGGCGACGACGGGUAGCUGGUCUGAGAGGAUGAUCAGCCACACUGGAACUGAGACACGGUCCAGACUCCUACGG